GGACCUAGAACAGCCACGCCGUUUGGUUGGUGGUUGGUGGUUUCAGUUUCAAUUCUGAGAGGUAGAGGAGGUAUCCCAAUUCCCAUCAUCAUGCCAUUGCCAUUGGCGGCCCAGAGCGCUCUCGUCGCGGCAGCCGUCGCCAUAGCCACGGCCACCGUCCUCCUCCUCGUCCCAUGGACGCCAACGCCGCGGGACCGCUUCGCCGACAUGGUGCUGGCCAACGCCACCAUCUACACCGCCGACCCCGCCCGCCCCUUCGCCGACGCCAUGGCCGUCCGCGACGGCCGCGUGCUCCGCGUCGGGACCUACGAGUCCGUCAAGGAGCUCAACGGCCGCCACACGCAUGAGCUGAGUCUCAGUGGGAACGUGGUACUGCCAGGGUUCAUCGACUCCCAUGUCCACUUCAUCGAUGGUGGAUUCCAGCUAGCGAGGGUGCCACUUCGAGGGAUCAGAAACAAAGAUGACUUCAUUGGCAGAGUCGAGGAAGCUGUCAGAGAUAAACAUCCUGGGCAGUGGAUUUUAGGAGGAGGUUGGAACAAUGAUUUUUGGGGAGGUGACCUCCCUGCUGCUGCUUGGCUGGAUGAUAUGUCACCUGAUAAUCCAGUCUGGCUCUCUCGUAUGGAUGGUCAUAUGGGAGUAGCCAACUCAUUAGCUAUGAAGAUUGCUGGGAUUGACAAAAACACAGACGAUCCAAUUGGUGGAACAAUCAUGCGAACAACCGGAGGAGAGCCUACUGGUCUUCUAGUUGAUACUGCUAUGAAGCUUAUAUUUGAUGUCAUUGAAAAAGUUUCUAACCAUGAAAGAAGAGAGGCUCUUCUUAGAGCAAGUAAACAUGCCCUAAUGAGGGGAGUGACUACUGUUGUUGAUGUUGGAAGUUACUUCCCUGGGACCUCAACAGAGAAAACAUGGCAAGAUUUUGCAGACAUCUAUGAAUGGGCUCACUCAAUGGAAAAAAUGAUUAUGAGAGUAUGCUUAUUCUUUCCAAUGCCCACAUGGUCUCGUGUUUCUGAUCUUAUUGAUGAACAUGGUCGAUCACUAAGUCAGUGGAUCCAUCUAGGUGGUGUUAAAGCUUUUCUUGAUGGUUCUCUGGGUUCUUCAAGCGCAUUGUUCCAUGAGCCUUACGAGGGUGAUCCUGGUAAUUAUGGUCUGCAAGUGACAGAUUUGGACAGCCUACUUAAUAGAACACUAGAAUCUGAUAAAUCUGGACUCCAGGUUGCCAUACAUGCAAUUGGGGAUAAAGCUAAUGACUUGCUACUGGAUAUGAUUGACAAGGUUGUUGAUUUAAAUGGAGUGAAGGACCGUAGAUUCCGGAUUGAGCAUGCCCAACAUCUGGCUCCAGGUGCAGCAAAUCGCUUUGGCAAGCAUGGUAUCAUUGCAUCCGUGCAGCCAGAUCAUCUAUUAGAUGACGCCAACUCAGCUGGAAACAAGAUUGGGGUGGAACGGGCUGAACGAAGCUCCUACACAUUUCGAUCACUGUUAGAUGGCGGUGCACAGCUAGCUUUUGGCUCUGAUUGGCCUGUAUACUAUUACUGUCUUUCAGGUUUCAGACAUCAACCCUCUACAAGCUAUCCGAACCGCAAUGUUCCGUAAGCCUCCUGGGUGGGAGGUCCCCUGGAUCCCUGCAGAGCGCUUGACCCUAGAUGAAUCACUGAAAGCGCAUACGAUGUCUGCUGCCUACGCCUGCUUCUUGGACCACGCCGUGGGCAGCCUUUCUGAAGGGAAAUACGCGGAUUUUGUGGUGCUGCCCUCUACAUCGUGGGACGAAUUCUCCAACGAUGUGCCGGGGCAGGUCCUGGCGACGUACGUGAGCGGCAGGCAAGCCUAUCCAUGAACCAUAAUAGAUAGCAGUUCUAGGAAGAUCACGUUGUGUAGGGUUAUUGCUACCAUUCUUUGGAAAUCAAUGGCUGCAAUACUGUAAUCAGCAUUCUCGAAGAUACGAUCUGCAACAUUUUUUCAGAGAGAUUUAGUUACUACUACAAAAGAAAGGUUCACUUGGAAGUAAGGCCUUGUUUAGUUUGUAAAAAUUUUCAAGAUUUCCCGUCACAUCGAA